UACGUAGGGUGCAAGCGUUGUCCGGAUUUAUUGGGCGUAAAGCGUGCGUAGGCGGCUGCGCAAGACGGGUGUGAAGCCCCGGGGCUCAACCCCGGAACUGCAUCCGAUACUGCGUGGCUAGAGGUAGGUAGGGGAGAUCGGAAUUCCUGGUGUAGCGGUGAAAUGCGCAGAUAUCAGGAGGAACACCGGUGGCGAAGGCGGAUCUCUGGGCCUUACCUGACGCUCAGGCACGAAAGCUAGGGGAGCGAACAGG
rnacentral:rRNA from 1 species